rnacentral:rRNA from 1 species
CCUACGGGUGGCAGCAGUGGGGAAUAUUGGGCAAUGGGCGCAAGCCUGACCCAGCAACGCCGCGUGAAGGAAGAAGGCUUUCGGGUUGUAAACUUCUUUUAAGAGGGAAGAGCAGAAGACGGUACCUCUUGAAUAAGCCACGGCUAACUACGUGCCAGCAGCCGCGAUAAUACGUAGGUGGCAAGCGUUGUCCGGAUUUACUGGGUGUAAAGGGAGUGUAGGCGGAUAUGUAAGAUAGCGGUGAAAUGCCGGGGCUCAACCCCGGAACUGCCAUUAUGACUAUGUAUCUAGAGUAAUGGAGAGGAUAGCGGAAUACCCAGUGUAGAGGUGAAAUUCGUAGAUAUUGGGUAGAACACCGGUGGCGAAGGCGGCUAUCUGGCCAUUUACUGACGCUGAGGCUCGAAAGCAUGGGGAUCAAACAGGAUUAGAUACCCUUGUAGUC